CCUGGUGGUUAUUGCGGAGGGGACACACCCGUUCCCAUACCGAACACGGUCGUUAAGCCCUCUAGCGCCGAUGAUACUGGAGCAAACCGGGAAAGUAGGACACUGCCGGGA
rnacentral:rRNA from 1 species